rnacentral:rRNA from 1 species
CCUACGGGGGGCAGCAGUGGGGAAUAUUGCACAAUGGGGGAAACCCUGAUGCAGCGACGCCGCGUGAGUGAAGAAGUAUCUCGGUAUGUAAAGCUCUAUCAGCAGGGAAGAAAAUGACGGUAACUGAUUAAGAAGCACGGGCUAACUACGAGCCAGCAGCCACGGUAAUACGUAGGGGGCAAGCGUUAUCCGGAUUUACUGGGUGUAAAGGGAGCGUAGACGGGAGGACAAGGCUGGAGGGAAAUGCCUGGGCUUAACCCCGGAACUGCAUUGGAAACUGGGCAGCUAGAGUGCAGGAGAGGUAAGUGGAAUGCCUAGUGUAGCGGUGAAAUGCGUAGAUAUUAGGAGGAACACCAGUGGCGAAGGCAGCUUACUGGCCUGUAACUGACGUUGAGGCUCGAAGGCGUGGGGAGCGAACAGGAUUAGAUACCCCAGUAGUC